GAGAGACCGCAUCUUCGUGGUCUGUUUUCAUUCAGUUACGAAAAUGGAGCAAUGGUACACACAGCUUUAUAGCAACAUUCAGAAUGAGAUUCUGGGCAUCCAGAACACCUCCCGAAAGCAGGUGGAAGACAUCACUG